UUAAGCCUGGAUAGUUAGUAUUGAUAUUGUCAUCUGAUAAAGUCAUGCUGAUUAUAAGAUGCACAGUUUUCUCUACUUUCAAAAGCUUUCUGUUUGAAACCGUCGACCUGGAACUUAUCAAUUAUUGGUAAUAUUAUUUAUUUGAAAAACAAUAGUGCCUGGAAUGGAGUUAUUUUUUAUCAACAUCAUUAUCCAAUAUUAGUUAUAAAGUUGAAUUCUUUGUUUCUGUGUUUUGCGUCAUGCCGGUUAAUAAAUUGGAAACUUUACCUAUACGCCUUAUUUUAAGUCUAGAUUUUUAGUAUUCGUAUUGUCAUCUUUUAAAGUCAUACUGAUUAAAAUACUACAAUAGGAAACAAUGUGACAAUGAUAGAAUUUAGU
rnacentral:lncRNA from 1 species